AAAUGCGAUAAGUAAUGUAAAUUGCAGAAUUCAGUGAAUCAUCGAAUCUUUGAACGCACCUUGCGCUCCUUGGUAUUCCUUGGAGCAUGCCUGUUUGAGUAUCAUGAAAUCUUCAAAGUAAAUCUUUUGUUAACUCAAUUGGUUUCUACUUUGGUAUUGGAGGUCUUUGCAGCUUCACACCUGCUCCUCUUUGUUCAUUAGCUGGAUCUCAGUGUUAUGCUUGGUUCCACUCGGCGUGAUAAGUUAUCUAUCGCUGAGGACACUGUAAAAGGUGGCCAAGGUAAAUGCAGAUGAACCGCUUCUAAUAGUCCAUUGACUUGGACAAUACUUUUAUGAUCUGAUCUCAAAUCAGGUAGGACUACCCGCUGAACUUAAGC
rnacentral:misc_RNA from 1 species